UUCAAUACAACAUCUAAACUUUGAAGUCCAUUUCCUGUCCAAUUCUUUUUGAAAUCACUCACCACAUUAAAGAACCUUAACACUACUUUGAUGCGUUUGACAAUUA